rnacentral:lncRNA from 1 species
CUUUUCUCUUGCCCAAAAGUAAUUGGAGGGUAGUGAGUCAUCAGCUUUUUACUUGUAUUGCCACUGAAAAGUACUUUUUGGCUGAUUGUGGGUUAGUCCACACCAUUUGACACUUAAAUCAUAGGCACAUGGCCUAUGCAUUAAUGAGAAGGUGCUAAUUUAUCUAUGGGUUUGAUGUUGGGCUUCGAGCAAGUCUUCCUUUAAUUGGUGCUUUUGGGCUUCCACACACUUGCAGCCUAAAGUUUAAAUAUUAACCCAAACAGUGCCCCUUUAAUCA